rfam:Shewanella benthica KT99 1099576005623, whole genome shotgun sequence.
UUUGGCAUUGGGAUUAUUCUUGAUGAUAGCAUUGCCCACUGCGUGUAACAGGUGAGUCUUACCUAAACCGGUACCACCAUA